rnacentral:lncRNA from 1 species
AAAUUAGUACAUAUAGAAAAGUUUCCUGGAAAGAAGCUCAAACAAUGAUUCCACAGAUGCUAUUGGGGGAGAUGAAGAAGAUAUUUCUCUUGUUGCAAGAAAUGAGAAAAAUUUACUAGCAAAAUAUGAUAUGUGAUACCCCUUCCAAUUCUAGAAUUCAAUACACUUAUCUCAUUUUUCAAAGAAUUCCACAAACACUAAAUCAUAUAAAAGAUUAAACAAAGGGAGAUAACAGUUGCAGACAACUAGGAAACACUUUACGAUAGAGUGAAG